ACGCAGAUUGUCAUAUAACAUAAUGAAUGCACCACUGUAAGAUUGCUUGCUGGUACUAUUUAUCAAGGCGGGUGAUGGCGGCAGCAGCGGCCUCGGGUGGUGGAGGAUGGUGUCUGUCGAGGCACCAACAGGUGCAGCUUGUUGGUUGUGGCUUGGCAAGCGUCGUCUCGGUGAGUGCCAGUGCGGCUUCUUCUUUUUUCCUUCCGGGCACUGGAGUAUUACAUGCCCUUUUUGGAUGAGAUUUGUGUAUCCACGUGCUGCUGCCCAUCUACAUGACUUGAGGUUGUCCCGUUUGUUCUAGCGGAGGCAGGUCUUUUGUGAGGAUUGUAGCUGCAGGAGAUAGGGUCAGUACACCAGAUUUCAGCAUCACAGUCAUUGUCCUGGUUGCCGCAGUGGUGCUUCUCCGCACAGGUGCCGGUGGUUGCGACUGUCGACAAUUGUGUGUCAUACAACAUGUCCAUCACAUGUUUGAUCAGGCUGCCUCAGUGACGGUUAUGACCGUGGCGUAGGUCACUUAUUGCUGCAAUAGCUGGGGAGGUUGGAAAGGAGCGUGAAUUGUAUGGCCAGUCUCUUGUAAUCAUCCUCCCUAAACUUUGAUUUGAUAUUUCUGCAUCUGUUGUACUGCAAUUUAAUUUUCGUGGAGCGGGUCCGAAGCAGUUGGGUAGCUGCCCUCAAAUUAGGUGGGAGUUGCUUACUGUACAGCAAAGUAGGGUAUUAGCUUGAUGGUCUAUUUUGCAAGAUAAAGCCAGUGCACAUGUUUAGAUUUCUAAUUUUAAUUCGAUAGUUUUUGUAGGAUUGCUUGCAUAGGCAUUAAUAUUUUUUAUUACAUCUCUUUUAUUACAUCUAUUUCGAGACACUAUGCUCGUUAUGCUUUUAGUCAUACUUAUCAUUUUGUUCUAGCUGGGCCCUCACUUUUCCCCUUGACCCCAGCC